GGGCGUCUGUUCCUCAGCCAGUGAUCAGAGAGCCGUGCAUGACGGGAGUAGGCAGCGGGGAUUAUGGGAAAUGUAGUCUGGCGACGCCGCCCUGCUCGCCAUUCCUGUAAUGGCUGCUUUCCGGUCAGGGGUGCCGCGGGUAACCUCUUAGCCUCGGGACCCGGAGCUCCAAAGAGGAACUGUUUGCACAUUGGAUAGAAUUUUACCUACGCUCUUGUUUAGUUUCUAGCAAAAGUCAGCCCUCAAGAUCCCAACAAGAUGAAUUCGGUUUCAACACAGCUGAUCUUAAUCCUCACUUCACUGCUCCUGAUUGUGCCUGGUGUUGAAGCAGUAGAAGCCGGAGAUGCCAUUGCGCUCUUGUUAGGGGUGGUUCUCAGCAUCACGGGCAUUUGUGCUUGCUUGGGGAUAUACGCAAGAAAGCGAAACGGACAGAUGUGACUCUGAAGGACUCUUCGGAGCUAGACUUCACCCUGACCACACUGAAAACCAUUGUGCUAUUGAGGCCAGACCCAAGGUUUGAUCUCUCCUGUUCCCAGCAAGAAGAGGAUGGUUUCACAUUCUUGGAAGUUUCUCCUAAGAUGGGAGUGGAUGGGUCGGGUGGGAGUGGGGGCUCUUUACAGCAGAGAGUGCAUUAAUAACAUGGCCUAUAAUUUGUAUUUGCUGCUUGGGAAGGGGGUCAAAGCGGGCUUAAAUUUGCCUAAGUAUUAUUUUGUACUUCUAAGUUGUUAAAGCAUGUGAAAUUGGAAGAAGGAAGUAUUUGCUCAGAAUCUAGUAAAUCGACAUUGUUGCUGUAUUAAUCACUGCCUCUUGAAUUCUGGGGGAAAUCUUUCUCUCCAUAUUUGUUGUUGUUGUUCUGUUUUUAUCUCCCUAGGUGAUUCUGUAUUAAAUAGCCAAAAUUUGAAACUUUUAUGUCUAAGAAAAAGUUUAACUAAAACGUACUGAACAUAUCUAAUACUAAAAUGAAGAGAUAUUUGUUAAAAAAAUAACUUUAUAUUAAUGGAGUAACAGCUCCUUUGUGAGAAGUACUAUAUCAAAUACAUGUCCAUUAUGCCAUAA